rnacentral:tRNA from 1 species
GGGCGCUUGGCUCAGCGGUAGAGCACCGCCUUCACACGGCGGGGGUCAGUGGUUCGAAUCCACUAGCGCCCA